CCCAGGACCCACAAGUGGCAACCGCUUUUAUUGGGCCUAAAGCGUCCGUAGCCGGUUUUGUAAAUCUUCUGUGAAAUCCUCGGGCUUAACCCGAGGGCGCGCAGGAGACACUGCAUCACUAGGGACCGGGAGGCGUGAGGAGUAUUUUUGGGGGAGCGGUAAAAUGUUAUAAUCCCAAAAGGACUACCUGUGGCGAAGGCGCCUCACGAGAACGGAUCCGACGGUGAGUGACGAAAGCUAGGGGAGCAAAACGGAUUAGAUACCCGAGUAGUCCUAGCCGUAAACUCUGCAAGUUAGGUGUCGCGCAUUCUUCGGGAAUGUGCGGUGUCGUAAUGAAGAUGUUAAACUUGCCGCCUGGGAAGUAUGGUCGCAAGGCUGAAACUUAA
rnacentral:rRNA from 1 species